UACGUACUGUGCGAACGUUUAUUCGGAAUCACUGGGCUUAAAGGGUGCGUAGGCGGCCAAUUAAGUAGGGUGUGAAAGGCUUCGGCUCAACCGGAGCAUUGCGCUCUAGACUGCUUGGCUCGAGUGAGAUAGGGGUGUGCGGAACUUCCAGUGGAGCGGUGAAAUGUGUUGAUAUUGGAAGGAACGCCGGUGGCGAAAGCGGCACACUGGGUCUUAACUGACGCUGAGGCACGAAAGCCAGGGGAGCGAACGGG
rnacentral:rRNA from 1 species